rnacentral:rRNA from 1 species
UACGUAGGCGACAAGCGUUGUCCGGAUUUACUGGGCGUAAAGAGCGCGCAGGCGGUCGUCAAGUCGAGUGUGAAAGCCCCCGGCUCAACUGGGGGAGGGUCAUUCGAUACUGAUCGACUCGAAGGCAGGAGAGGGUAGUGGAAUUCCCGGUGUAGUGGUGAAAUGCCGUAGAUAUCAGGAGGAACACCGGUGGCGAAGGCGGUUCUCUGGGCCUUAC